UACGUAGGGUGCGAGCGUUAAUCGGAAUUACUGGGCGUAAAGUGUGCGCAGGCGGCCGCGCAAGUCGAGUGUGAAAGCCCCGAGCUUAACCUGGGAAUGGCAUUUGGGACUGCAAGGCUUGAGUGCGGCAGAGGAGACUGGAAUUCCUGGUGUAGCAGUGAAAUGCGUAGAUAUCAGGAGGAAUACCGAUGGCGAAGGCAGGUCUCUGGGCUGACACUGACGCUCAUGCACGAAAGCGUGGGGAGCAAACAGG
rnacentral:rRNA from 1 species